GACGAACGCUGGCGGCGUGCCUAAUACAUGCAAGUAGAACGCUGAAGGAGGAGCUUGCUUCUCUGGAUGAGUUGCGAACGGGUGAGUAACGCGUAGGUAACCUGCCUGGUAGCGGGGGAUAACUAUUGGAAACGAUAGCUAAUACCGCAUAAUAGUAGAUGUUGCAUGACAUUUGCUUAAAAGGUGCAAUUGCAUCACUACCAGAUGGACCUGCGUUGUAUUAGCUAGUUGGUGGGGUAACGGCUCACCAAGGCGACGAUACAUAGCCGACCUGAGAGGGUGAUCGGCCACACUGGGACUGAGACACGGCCCAGACUCCUACGGGAGGCAGCAGUAGGGAAUCUUCGGCAAUGGACGGAAGUCUGACCGAGCAACGCCGCGUGAGUGAAGAAGGUUUUCGGAUCGUAAAGCUCUGUUGUAAGAGAAGAACGAGUGUGUGAGUGGAAAGUUCACACUGUGACGGUAUCUUACCAGAAAGGGACGGCUAACUACGUG
rnacentral:rRNA from 1 species